rnacentral:rRNA from 1 species
UACGGGAAGGUGCAAGCGUUUAAUCGGAAUUACUGGGCGUAAAGGGCGCGUAGGCGGCCUUCUAAGUCAGACGUGAAAUCCCUCGGCUCAACCGGGGAACUGCGUCUGAGACUGGAAGGCUUGAAUCCGGGAGAGGGAUGUGGAAUUCCAGGUGUAGCGGUGAAAUGCGUAGAUAUCUGGAGGAACACCGGUGGCGAAGGCGGCAUCCUGGACCGGUAUUGACGCUGAUGAGCGAAAGCUAGGGGAGCAAACGGG